rnacentral:rRNA from 1 species
GACGAACGCUGGCGGCGUGCCUAAUACAUGCAAGUCGAGCGGACUUGAAGGAGUGCUUGCACUCCUGAGAGUUAGCGGCGGACGGGUGAGUAACACGUAGGCAACCUGCCCUCAAGACUGGGAUAACUACCGGAAACGGUAGCUAAUACCGGAUAAUUUAUUACAUAGCAUUAUGUGAUAAUGAAAGACGGAGCAAUCUGUCACUUGGGGAUGGGCCUGCGGCGCAUUAGCUAGUUGGUGGGGUAACGGCCCACCAAGGCGACGAUGCGUAGCCGACCUGGGAGGGUGAACGGCCACACUGGGACUGAGACACGGCCCAGACUCCUACGGGAGGCAGCAGUAGGGAAUCUUCCGCAAUGGGCGAAAGCCUGACGGAGCAACGCCGCGUGAGUGAUGAAGGUUUUCGGAUCGUAAAGCUCUGUUGCCAAGGAAGAACGUCUCAUAGAGUAACUGCUAUGAGAGUGACGGUACUUGAGAAGAAAGCCCCGGCUAACUACGUG